rnacentral:rRNA from 1 species
CAAAAACAUGGCUCCUUGAACUUUAAUAAUAGGGAGUCGGACCUGCCCAGUGAAUUUUCAACGGCCGCGGUACUCUGACCGUGCAAAGGUAGCAUAAUCAUUUGCCUUAUAAUUGAAGGCUAGUAUGAAUGGUUUGACAAGAAUGAAGCUGUCUCUUUAUAAUUUAAUAGAAUUUUAUUUUUAGGUGAAGAAGCCUAAAUUAAAUUAAAAGACAAGAAGACCCUAUCGAGCUUUAAAGAAAUUAAUAGAAUUAAUUAAUUAAUAUUUAUAGAAAAUUAUCUAUUUAAUAUUUUAGUUGGGGCGACUGAGGAACAUAAAAAGCUUCCUUUCAAUUAAUUAACUGAAAUCAAACUAGAGCUGAUCCAAAACAUUUUGAUUAAAGGAAUUAGUUACCGUAGGGAUAACAGCAUUAUCUUUUUUAAGAGCUCAUAUCGAAAAAAAGGUUUGUGACCUCGAUGUUGGACCAGAAUAUCCUAAAGGUGCAGCAGUCUUUAAGGGUUGGUCUGUUCGACCAUUAAAAUUCUACGUGA